AGUCUCUUAAAGACUGUUCUCAGUUCGGACUGCAGUCUGCAACUCGACUGCACGAAGCUGGAAUCGCUAGUAAUCGCGGAUCAGCACGCCGCGGUGAAUACGUUCCCGGGCCUUGUACACACCGCCCGUCACACCAUGGAAGUCUGCAAUGCCCGAAGCCGGUGGCCUAACCACUUAUGUGGAAGGAGCCGUCUAAGGCAGGGCAGAUGACUGGGGUGAAGUCGUAACAAGGUAAC
rnacentral:rRNA from 1 species